AUUGAACGCUGGCGGCAUGCCUUACACAUGCAAGUCGAACGGUAACAGGUUAAGCUGACGAGUGGCGAACGGGUGAGUAAUGUAUCGGAACGUGCCCAGUCGUGGGGGAUAACUGCUCGAAAGAGCAGCUAAUACCGCAUACGACCUGAGGGUGAAAGCGCGGGAUCGCAAGACCUCGCGCGAUUGGAGCGGCCGAUAUCAGAUUAGGUAGUUGGUGAGGUAAAGGCUCACCAAGCCGACGAUCUGUAGCUGGUCUGAGAGGACGACCAGCCACACUGGGACUGAGACACGGCCCAGACUCCUACGGGAGGCAGCAGUGGGGAAUUUUGGACAAUGGGCGCAAGCCUGAUCCAGCCAUGCCGCGUGCGGGAAGAAGGCCUUCGGGUUGUAAACCGCUUUUGUCAGGGAAGAAAAGGUUCUGGCUAAUACCUGGGACUCAUGACGGUACCUGAAGAAUAAGCACCGGCUAACUACGUG
rnacentral:rRNA from 1 species